GGAACCCAAUCCUCCAGAGGUAGACGCCGCUGCCGUUCUGCCCUCGUCAUCCGUUUGACUUGAAAUGCUGGUUCACAGAAUUAACGCAUAACCGCGAGUCACGCAGAGGCGCGCGGCCGCGCGGGGAGCUGUCAGCUUCGCCAGUCUCAGCAGCCUGUCAACCCCCCACCCUUCCCUCCCGCGCUCUCCCGCUGUCGGCCCAAAAAGAAUGGGGCCGGGGAAGAGAGAAGAUGGAGGGGAGCGAGGUGGUGCGGCCGUUUGCUCCCGUCUCGACCACGGGUAUUCUUGGGUUGAUAAUACAGAUGUCGAUGUUAUUGCUUGAGAAUACGCGUAGCUGAGCGGAAGCCAUCACCAACGGACAAUAACGGACAGCAGAACCAGAGGGAGCACGAGCGUGGCGGGAGAGGCGGCGGCGGCGGGAGAGGGCGACGGCGGUCCUCUCCUCGAGUCCCCGCUUGUUGUCCACCAGAAUCCGCCCCGGCAUCGUCUCGGCCCUCUGCAGGAAGGAAGCGUGUAAUGGAUCGAUUCACCCGUCCAGUCCUUCUCAGAGCUGGAAUUUUGGUAAGUGUACCAAUAAAAAAAACAUUCUGCCAACAAUACUUCUUAUUUUUGUGACGUACUCCCCCACGUUUCUGGUAUUCUGCAGGGUGGUCGAAAUUGUCAAUUUCCCAUCCGUGGUGUAGUUUGCGGGGCACUGGAUCAUAUUAGUGUUAUUGUAAUGGGGUGUAAUACGAUUAUUCAAAUCCCUCUAUUUCUGGGGCUCAUCCAUGUAAAAGGGCCCUUUGACAGAAAACUGUGUGUGUGCUAAACCCUGGAAAUUCCCAGCCAAGAGGAUUCUCCACGCCAC
ensembl:lncRNA